rnacentral:lncRNA from 1 species
AAAAAUGCUUCUUUUAGGCCCUUUUUGGCCCCCAAUUCCUGCAUGAAUUGGGCAAUUACCCCCAAACUCAAUCCCAGCCUUUCUUUUGUGAUAUGGAAGCUUGUGGUACAAUGUCAGAGUGAUGCAUCAGUCACACACAAGUUAUUGGCCAGAAACAACAAAAAUGCUUGUUUUUUGCCCCUUAAUUCCAAAACUGUCGGCACCGUAACCCCAAAAAUGAUUCCACACCUUCUAC